UACGUAGGGGGCUAGCGUUGUCCGGAAUCAUUGGGCGUAAAGGGCGCGUAGGCGGCCAAUCAAGUCCGACGUGAAAUUCCCCGGCUCAACCGGGGGCCUGCGUCGGAUACUGCUUGGCUUGAGUCCCGGAGAGGGUAGUGGAAUUCCCAGUGUAGCGGUGAAAUGCGUAGAUACUGGGAGGAACACCGGUGGCGAAGGCGGCUACCUGGACGGGUACUGACGCUGAGGCGCGAAAGCUAGGGGAGCAAACAGG
rnacentral:rRNA from 1 species